rnacentral:rRNA from 1 species
CCUACGGGAGGCAGCAGUGAGGAAUAUUGGUCAAUGGGCGCGAGCCUGAACCAGCCAAGUAGCGUGAAGGAUGACUGCCCUACGGGUUGUAAACUUCUUUUAUAAAGGAAUAAAGUGAGGCACGUGCGCCUUUUUGUAUGUACUUUAUGUAUAAGGAUCGGCUAACUCCGUGCCAGCAGCCGCGGUAAUACGGAGGAUCCGAGCGUUAUCCGGAUUUAUUGGGUUUAAAGGGAGCGUAGAUGGGUUGUUAAGUCAGUUGUGAAAGUUUGCGGCUAAACCGUAAAAUUGCGAUUGAUACUGGCAGCCUUGAGUACAGUUGAGGUAGGCGGAAUUCGUGGUGUAGCGGUGGAAUGCGUAGAUAUCGCGAAGAACUCCGAUUGCGAAGGCAGCUUACUAAACUGCCACUGACAUUGAUGCUCGAAAGUGUGGGUAUCGAACAGGAUUAGAUACCCUAGUAGUC